AUUGAACGCUGGCGGCAUGCUUUACACAUGCAAGUCGAACGGCAGCGGGGGCUUCGGCCUGCCGGCGAGUGGCGAACGGGUGAGUAAUGCAUCGGAACGUGCCCAUGUCGUGGGGGAUAACGUAUCGAAAGGUACGCUAAUACCGCAUACGUCCUGAGGGAGAAAGCGGGGGAUCUUCGGACCUCGCGCGAUUGGAGCGGCCGAUGUCGGAUUAGCUAGUAGGUGAGGUAAAGGCUCACCUAGGCGACGAUCCGUAGCGGGUCUGAGAGGAUGAUCCGCCACACUGGGACUGAGACACGGCCCAGACUCCUACGGGAGGCAGCAGUGGGGAAUUUUGGACAAUGGGCGCAAGCCUGAUCCAGCCAUGCCGCGUGAGUGAAGAAGGCCU
rnacentral:rRNA from 1 species